GACGAACGCUGGCGGCGUGCCUAAUACAUGCAAGUCGAACGGAAAGGCCCUGCGUUUGUGGGGCGCUCGAGAGGCGAACGGGUGAGUAACACGCGUGUAACCUGCCCUUGUCUUUGGGAUAAAUUCAGGAAACUGGGGCGAAUACCGGAUAGGAGCUCUUGCUGCAUGGUGGGGGUUGGAAAGUUUCGGCGGUUGGGGAUGGACUGGCGGCUUAUCAGCUGGUUGGUGGGGUAGUGGCUUACCAAGGGUUUGACGGGUAGCCGGCCUGGGAGGGUGACCGGGCACCUGAGGACUGAGGUAGGGCGCAGAAGGCAAUGGGAGGCAGCGGUGGAGAGUAUUACGCAGUGGGGGGGCGCGAGAUACGGAGGUCCCGGGUUCGUGAUAACGUCCUUCUAGUGGUAAACCACUGUGGCCUGUAACAAGGCGUGAGUGACGGUAAUGAGUAAAGAAGCACCGGCUAACUACGUG
rnacentral:rRNA from 1 species